rnacentral:rRNA from 1 species
CGAAUGCUGACAUAAGUAACGAUAAAGCGGGUGAAAAGCCCGCUCGCCGGAAGACCAAGGGUUCCUGUCCAACGUUAAUCGGGGCAGGGUGAGUCGACCCCUAAGGCGAGGCCGAAAGGCGUAGUCGAUGGGAAACAGGUUAAUAUUCCUGUACUUGGUGUUACUGCGAAGGGGGGACGGAGAAGGCUAUGUUGGCCGGGCGACGGUUGUCCCGGUUUAAGCGUGUAGGCUGGUUUUCCAGGCAAAUCCGGAAAAUCAAGGCUGAGGCGUGAUGACGAGGCACUACGGUGCUGAAGCAACAAAUGCCCUGCUUCCAGGAAAAGCCUCUAAGCAUCAGGUAACAUCAAAUCGUACCCCAAACCGACA